UACGAAGGGGGCUAGCGUUGCUCGGAAUUACUGGGCGUAAAGCGUGCGCAGGCGGUGAUGUAAGACAGAUGUGAAAUCCCCGGGCUCAACCUGGGAACUGCAUUUGUGACUGCACCGCUGGAGUGCGGCAGAGGGGGAUGGAAUUCCGCGUGUAGCAGUGAAAUGCGUAGAUAUGCGGAGGAACACCGAUGGCGAAGGCAAUCCCCUGGGCCUGCACUGACGCUCAUGCACGAAAGCGUGGGGAGCAAACAGG
rnacentral:rRNA from 1 species